rnacentral:rRNA from 1 species
ACGAUGAAGAGUUUGAUCCUGGCUCAGGAUGAACGCUAGCUACAGGCUUAACACAUGCAAGUCGAGGGGCAGCAUUAUCGAAGCUUGCUUUGAUAGAUGGCGACCGGCGCACGGGUGCGUAACACGUAUCCAAUCUACCCAUUGCUCAGGGAUAGCCUUUCGAAAGAAAGAUUAAUACCUGAUGGUCUGUGAUUGAGACAUCUCGAACACAGUAAAGAUUUAUCGGCGAUGGAUGAGGAUGCGUCUGAUUAGAUAGUAGGCGGGGUAACGGCCCACCUAGUCGACGAUCAGUAGGGGUUCUGAGAGGAAGGUCCCCCACAUUGGAACUGAGACUCGGUACAAAAUCCUACGGGAGGCAGCAGUGAGGAAUAUUGGUCAAUGGGCGAGAGCCUGAACCAGCCAAGUAGCGUGCAGGACGACUGCCCUAUGGGUUGUAAACUGCUUUUAUGCGGGAAUAAAGUUCGCCACUUGUGGCGAUUUGCAUUUAACGCAUGAAUAAGGACCGUCUAAUUCCGUGCAAGCAUCCGCGGUAAUAAGGAAGGUCAGGGC